rnacentral:rRNA from 1 species
UACGUAGGUGGCAAGCGUUGUCCGGAUUUACUGGGCGUAAAGAGCGCGCAGGCGGUCGAUCAAGUCGCGUGUGAAAGCCCCCGGCUCAACUGGGGAGGGUCACGCGAUACUGAUCGACUCGAAGGCAGGAGAGGGUAGUGGAAUUCCCGGUGUAGUGGUGAAAUGCGUAGAUAUCAGGAGGAACACCGGUGGCGAAGGCGGCUAUCUGGACAGAAACUGACGCUGAGGCGCGAAAGCUAGGGGAGCAAACAGG